rnacentral:rRNA from 1 species
CGGACGGGUGAGUAACACGUGGAUAACCUACCUAUAAGACUGGGAUAACUUCGGGAAACCGGAGCUAAUACCGGAUAAUAUAUUGAACCGCAUGGUUCAAUAGUGAAAGACGGUUUUGCUGUCACUUAUAGAUGGAUCCGCGCCGCAUUAGCUAGUUGGUAAGGUAACGGCUUACCAAGGCAACGAUGCGUAGCCUACCUGAGAGGGUGAUCGGCCACACUGGAACUGAGACACGGUCCAG